GGAUCAAUUUAUUGGUCGUGCCUAUGGUACGUACUGGUUUUAUUGGUUCCUCCCUUCUGAGGAGCCACGAUGUCAUUAAUUUGGUGUCGUGGGGAAUCAGGACUGUUACUUUGAAAAAAUUAGAGUGUUUAAAGCAGGCUCGCGCUUGAAUACAUUAGCAUGGAAUAAUGAAAUAGGACGUUUGAUCCUAUUUUGUUGGUUUCUAGGAUUGACGUA
rnacentral:rRNA from 1 species